rnacentral:rRNA from 1 species
UACAGAGGGUGCAAGCGUUGUUCGGAAUUAUUGGGCGUAAAGGGCGCGUAGGCGGUUCGGCAAGUCUCUAGUGAAAUCUCUGGGCUCAACUCAGAGUCUGCUGGGGAAACUGCCGGGCUUGAGUGUGGGAGAGGAGAGUGGAAUUCCCGGUGUAGCGGUGAAAUGCGUAGAUAUCGGGAGGAACAUCAGUGGCGAAGGCGGCUGUCUGGCCCGGUACUGACGCUGAGGCGCGAAAGCGUGGGGAGCAAACAGG